rnacentral:rRNA from 1 species
UGACCUCGAUCAGUAGG